CAGUAGCCACGGGAAUACAGAGGGUGCAAGCGUUAAUCGGAAUUACUGGGCGUAAAGCGCGCGUAGGUGGUUUGUUAAGUUGUAUGUGAAAUCCCCGGGCUCAACCUGGGAACUGCAUCCAAAACUGGCAAGCUAGAGUAUGGUAGAGGGUGGUGGAAUUUCCUGUGUAGCGGUGAAAUGCGUAGAUAUAGGAAGGAACACCAGUGGCGAAGGCGACCACCUGGACUGAUACUGACACUGAGGUGCGAAAGCGUGGGGAGCAAACAGGAUUAGAUACCCCGGUAGUCCCUGUCUCUUAUAC
rnacentral:rRNA from 1 species